GACGAACGCUGGCGGCGUGCUUAACACAUGCAAGUCGAACGGAAAGGCCCUGCUUGCAGGGUACUCGAGUGUCGAACGGGUGAGUAACACGUGUGUGAUCUGCCCUGCACUUCGGGAUAAGCCUGGGAAACUGGGUCUAAUACCGGGGAGAGGCCAUUUUUAUUGUUAUGGUUGGAAAGUUUUUUCGGUGUAGGAUGAGCUCGCGGCCUAUCUGCUUGUUGGUGGGUUAAUGGCCUACCAAGGCGGCGACGGGUAGCCGGCCUGAGAGGGUGGACGGCCACAUUGGGACUGGGAUACGGCCCCGAAUCCUACGGGAGGCAGGAGUGGGGAAUAUUGCACAAUGGGCGCAAGCCUGAUGCAGCGACGCCGCGUGGCGGAUGACGGGCUUCGGGUUGUAAAAUCGUUUCGCUAGGGAAGAAGCUUUUUGUGACGGUACCUAGAUAAGAAGCACCGGCUAACUACGUG
rnacentral:rRNA from 1 species